UGGCGUUUGUGUUGUUGAAAACACGUGUUAGUGAGGUUUUGCAUAAUUUUAACUGUUGUGUCAAUUUAUUAGUUGGUGUCUGGACGUUAUUUACUAACAUCAUAACCCAUCUAGUCCAGUUACCUACCACAAAUCGGACUGGGAUUGUCCAGAAAAGACUUGGAUGUAAAUAAACCGUUCAACCUCCUUUGUGUUUUCUCCAAACAACGCGUCUUUGGCGAAGUGAAUUGUGCUGUGUGGCACAACAAAAAGCCACUAAAAUAAACAACAACAACAA